rnacentral:pre_miRNA from 1 species
GAUGUACUCCCUCUGUCCAAAAAUUCUUUCUUAAAUUUAUCUAGAUAUGAAUGUAUUUAGUCACGUUUUAGUAUUUAGAUACAUCAAUUUCUAGACAAACCUAAAACAAGAAUUUCGAAACGAAGGGAAUACUCG